GGGUGCUCUAUCUCUUGUUUAUUCGACAUCAGCCUUAUUCCGUCUAAAUUACGUAUGUAGUAAGAGAGUGCCCUUGCAUCACAGAUAGAUUGAAAGCUUUUUCCCUCCCUGGCAAGACCUUUACCCGGAUAGAAGGAUGUCAACAAAGGGCUUAGAGUUGGAACGUCUUCCCUCAAAGAAGGAUGAAUUCAAGGGAAGGGCGGAUUCCCCUUUUAUUGAUGGAAAGCCAGAGCUACGAGUCCAAUGAGAAUGCCUUCUUGUAUCCUUUCUUUUAAAAGAUCAAUAUGUUAGUCUUCUUUCAGACGAACGAAAGGAAGAGUAUCCACUAUUCGAUUCCGUAGCCCUCGCGGAAGAAGGUAGCUCCGUGUAUUUCUUCUAUGAACUCCCUUUGAGAAUAGCUUGAGGGCAAAGUUCAGACUAUCCAAGGACUAGGUAGAGGAACUCCUUAACCUUUUUCCCUUAUGUCAACCCUGAUAAAGGAGUCUCAGUAGUUUUAGGAUGAGGUUUCGCCCGAAGCAUCGUAGCAACGAGCUACAUUGGAUGAGGUUGAUGCUUUUGACCUUGCUUCCGUCCCCUUAGUUUAGUUGAGUCGAGCUCAAUGAAUUUCCUCUUAUACCAUGUAUUGAAUGACUAGCUGCUAAACGCCCUACUUCGAGUACUGGAUUGACUUUCUACACCUAUUGCUUGAGCUGUAAAAGCACCCUUAACAAUCUUCCAGAGCGAGCUCCUGCCUAGAUUUGCUUUUCGACCUCACCCAAGCGAGAGCGCUUUCAAUAUUUCACUUCUCCUCCCAUUCAUUUCUUGCCCGUGUCACUGAAUCCGUUGGUUUAGAUGCUUUCCAGGAUUCCUUGGAAGGAACCACGGAGUUCUGUACUUAAUUUAGUUCUUUUAGUAAAAGCCGGUUCUUCGCCAUAUUGAUAUAUAGAUAUAGAUACAAUUCAGAAAGAGCUAUUUAUUCUUAAUGUGUUACCAGACCUAACUUAAUGCCGUCAAACUCUUAUAUUCAUCCACUUCGCAUUCAGAAAAGUGCUUCAAGUUCUGUUAGGUUCUUAGUAACCAAUACCUCUAGGAGAAAGCCAGUUGCUUGAAAAGACCCGAGCACAAAACCAUUUCAUCUAUUAUUAAAACACCCUUUUUUACGGAUCCCCCUGAAGACAGGGUAAUUACCCCAGCUGAUGUGUCCAUAAAAUUACCAUCCCCAGCAACCAAUUCUUGAGGAGGAAUAAAAAAAAGAUCAAUAGACAGAUCGGGGUCUUCCCCAUCAGCCAAUACUCCAACUAAUGCUACUGCUGCUUCCUAGACAAAGGUUGGCGGCACCUGCCCCUGUUUAUCAUUCCUCUGCUUCUGAUUCCGAAGAUUAAGGGGUCGUGGCACACUGCUUACAUAUCGAGUAUAGCCAAUUGGUACCGGUUGGCUCGGAGUGGUAAGUGGUACCGAUAUUGAGGGUUCAGCAUCACGAUCUACUUAGAAUAUACCAGCGGAUUCCUUUAUACCCGAGAUUCCCAUUCCUACCUCUAAUUCCACAAUGAAACUGUUGCACCUCUAGCCUCCCUUUCUAAACUUAUGUUGGGAUAUGCCAGCUUCAAGGCUGCUAUUUUAGCUGGAAUCUUUUCAUUCCUGAAGUGAUUCCUUUCUUUGAUUUGGUGCUUGCUUACUUAGUACUCGCUACAGGCGUUGAAUUUCGCUUUAACAACUGCUCGUACGGUUUUCGAUUCUAUUUCCCACUCCUUUCCUUUGAAACGGCGCACCCUCUGCUUCGAUAGUGUACGGACUUGAAGAGAUAGACUGACGGAAGGGAAACUGAAGGACUCGACGACUGGGGAACAAGGUGAAAGUCAGCCCGUGUUAAGCAUGGGAACAAGGACCCCAACCCGAGUGAAUCGAUUCUUAGGCGCUCUCUAAAGAGAUAGGGACAGAAAGGCGCGUAGCUCGCUCUACCGUUAAUGAUGGAUCCAUCAGACGAGUCAGUUAUGAUUACAUACCUCAGGCCUAGAAUGCCCAUAUCAUGGAUAGCCUGCUCUGUGAAGAUGCCCUUGUUUGAUCUCCAUCCUCGCC
rnacentral:lncRNA from 1 species